ensembl:lncRNA
GAGAGUCAGUGUUGAAAGUAAGUGUUUAGGUUCAGUGCUGCUGAGAGCCAGUUUUGAGAGUCAUUGUUGAGAGUCAGUGCUGUGAAUCAGUGCUGACUGCGCUACAGCAGGGGGCAGUGCGGCUCUUUGGAUCAGUGCGCGGGUCCGGCUCUGGCACUGCGGACUCUCCUCGUGCUUCUGGGAUACUGGAGGAUUUGCUGGCUCUACAAUGUCAUGGCGACCAUCGUAGAGCGUGUUUUUUCGCGGUUUAGUAACAGCCGAUCACUCUGGACCUCAGAUAUAGAGUGUGAACAGUGAAAGUCACAACACCACCCCCCAUUUCACAUAGACUAAAGAGAAGCUUUCCUCCAGGGUCAAGAGGUCAGGAGCUGCAAGAAUGGAAUGUGCCACAAACGCUAAUGUUGAGGGAAGUGAUCCAUCUGAAGCGACUUUGUGUGAAGAUAUUACUAUCAGAGAUGGUAGUGAGACGCCAAGGAAGAAAACGAAGAAGCAUAAAAAACACAAAAGUAAGAAGAAGCGCAAGAAGAGAAAGGGUGAAAAAGACAGCAGCUCUGAAUCUGGAGCAGAGUCAGAUGGAGAUUCUCAAACAAAAUUAAGUAUAAAAAAGGAAGGCCCAUCCAAUGUUGAGGGUCGCGAUGAAGAUAAGGAGUCCACAAAAAAUUCUGUUGCAGAACAUCAUGGUGAUGAAGAUUCCAAAGUAAAAAAAGCGAAGCGUCAUUCAGGGAAGAAGAAGAAGAAAAAGAAACGGAAAGAAGAAAAGCAGGAGAAAAACUCUCCUUCUCGUUCACGAUCAGCCAGUACAUCAGAGUCAGGGUCAGAGUCAGAGUCUGAAUCAAAAUUGACGCAAGCAUUGAAAAUGGACUCGCCUAGCUUGGGCAGGAAGUCUCCUGUCGCUGCAGCAAAGCUCCAAAAUGACAGGUAUAAAGAAAAAAUAUCACAGCCAGAUGAAAUAAAAGGAGACGUGACUAGCAAAGCUGAAUAUUGUGAAGAAAAAUUAGAACAACCUGCAUGGAGGGAGGAGGAUGAGUCUUUUGAGGAUGCACAUGGCCAGGCUGCAAAUAGAGAAAAGUACAGCGAAAAGGACACAAAACCUGAGAAAAAUGGAGGUUUUAGCAAGGCUCACGAACUCCCUGAUAUUAUACCUAAACAGGAGAAUGUGCAUAAGGAGCAAGUAGGUCAAAAGGAAUCUAAUGGCAAUCAGAGAGGGAAGAUUGAUGCAGACAAGUCACCUUCUAGGUCAAGGUCUCGGUCACGUUCAGACAAUAAAGGGACUAAAUUGAGCCACAGUCGAUCCAAAACGCCGAAGCGAUCAUCCGGUUUAAUGGCACGGCGAAAAGAUCGAUCAUUGUCGAGAGAAAGGUCUGUUUCCAGCUCAAGAAGGAAGCGAGGUUUGCAAAAUAGGCGCUCAAGGUCUCCAUCACAAAAAAGGUCUCGGUCAAGAUCAGUUAAGGGAACAAGACGCAAAUCAAGGUCCAUCUCUGUAAAGAGAAAGCGUCGCUCAGAGUCAAGAUCCCGUACAAGAACUAAAAGAUCCAGGACCAAGUCCCCGCGACGCAACCGGCGAACAAGAUCUAGAUCUGUUGGAAAGCCACGUCGGUCAAGGUCGAAAAGAUCAGUUUCUCGUCGAAAGGCCCGAGCCUCCAAAUCACGUUCUAGAUCUGUUCGGAGAGGGAGGCGCUCAAGGCCACGCUCCCGCAAAAGGACACCGGUAUCCCGGACAAGAAGAUCUCGUUCCAGGUCUGCAAGGAAAAUGAGGCGAACACGUUCACGGUCUCCUGUGGUUUCAAGGAGAUCGAGAUCAAGAAGAAGAAACAGGCGUUCUAGAUCAAGGUCCAUUCGUAAAAACAGAUCAAGGUCUAGAACCCCUAGACGACGAAGUAGAUCUCACUCUCCCUUGCGCUCGCGACACUCUAAAUCACCUGCUGUUCGACAAAGGAGGUCAAAAUCUCCACGUAGGACAAGGUCAAAGUCUCCAAAGCGCAGUAAGCAUUCAAAAUCACGAUCCAUCUCCCGGCAUUCAAAGACUAGCUCACCUAGGUUUAGAAAAGGAGCAAAGAAAACAAAAAAUAAACGGUCAAGAUCUGUUUCUCAGAGAGACACAUCUAGAUCUAGGUCUAAUUCAAGAGGAAGACUUUCUGCAGAUAGGAGUCAGUCACCAGCUAAGAGCAGGUCUAAAUCUCCUGCAGAAGAGAGAGAAUCUUCAGUGGAGCACCAUAACAAUUCUGAUGGUAAUAAAGGAAUAUCAGUACCCAAAAUACAUAAAGCUGACUGUGAGGAAGAUCAGUCAACGUCCAAAAAAGGAUGGAAACCACUGUUGCCUGAAUGUCCAUCUCCACAAAAAAUAUCAAGUGAGGAUUCAGCUCAGUCAGAACAGAAUAUAAACACAGAGGAAGUGUCCAAAACCACUUUGGAAUCCAGGGAGAGGCAAAACACCUCUAGAUCAAGGUCCACUUCGUCAGAACCAUUACCUCAACGUGAAAGUUCUGUCUCAGAUGAUAAUGAGCAGUCUGAUCAUUCAAGAUCCCCAUCUCCAAGUCCAGCCAAAAAAGAGUUAAAACCCACCAAAAAAUCCAAGUCACCUGUCCAUAGGAAGCGCUCUAGGUCCGUUUCAUCCACCCAUAAGACACGAUCUAAAUCAAAGUCUGUUAGUGGUAGAGAAAGGUCUAAAUCUCCUGCAAGGAAACGAAAGUCUAGAUCUCCCUCACACAGCCGAAGAAAGAGGUCAAAAUCCAGAUCGCCUGUUCGAAGAAGACGAUCUCGCUCAAGAUCUGUCACUCGCAGGGGAAAAUCAAGGUCUAAAUCUCGCACCAAGACCAAGCGCUCCAAGUCCAAAUCUCCCAAACGGAAACGAUCUAAGUCUAGAUCACCAGUGCGAAAAAGGCGAUCUAAAUCACACACUCCUGCUCGCAGGAAAAGGUCCAAGACUCCGGAAAAAAGCAAGAGAUCAAAAUCCCGUUCCCCCACCAGGAAGAGGCGGUCACGUUCUCGAUCAAAGUCACGGGCCAGACAUUCACGAUCCAAAAGAUCUCGAUCUGCCUCCCGACGAAGAAGGCCAGUGUUUCGAGGCCGUUCUUUCGACAGGAGAGAUAGAUGGAAACGAGAGCCAAGCCAUUCUCCUGUUCUCAUUCUCCGUAAAAGAAGGUCCACCUCGAGAACUCGUCGCAGCACUAGCAAGACACCACCACGCCUUACUGAACUAGACAAAGAUCAGCUGUUGGAGAUUGCCAAGGCUAAUGCUGCAGCAAUGUGCGCUAAAGCAGGGAUGCCCAUCCCAGAGAGCCUUAGGCCUAAGGCUAUCCUCCAAUUGCCUUUGCCAACUCCUACUCCAACCCCUCUGUCUUUGCCUCUGCCCCUGCCAGUUCCCAACUUGCCCAUGAACCUGCCGAUGGGCAUACCUGGUAUGCCUGCAAUGCCAAAUAUGCCUAUGAAUGCUGCAAUGGCAAGCAUGACAGCAGCAACCAUGACUGCAGCCCUGUCAAAUAUGGGAGCAUUGGCAGCCAUGCCCCCCAUGCCUCCACUGCCCACCAUUACCAACAAACCUCCUCCGGCACCCACACCUAAUCUGGCCAACAUCGAAGAAGUGAAGAGAAAAGUGGCGCAGCAGGCGAACAGCAUCAGUAUUAAAGAGUUUACAGAGAAAUGUAAGCAAAUCGCUGAAAGUAAGGAGGAGAUGAGCAUUGCAAGGCCACACAUUUCUGAUGAUGAAGACGAUGGAAACCGGUAACCAACUAUGCUGCUUCAUUACUGUAUUCCUGUCCAAGGCUAACAGCUGAAUGAGAAGUUUGGACGUCACUGGAUGGUAAUGGUCAGUAAAUCCCACAGAUUAGACCAGUUCCAGUGUUUGGUGUUUUUCCUCAGCAGAUGUCAUCUCAUAGGCAGAAGAUUUGUUCUUCUCUCAGGAUAGAUCUACUAGACCAGAUCAUGGUGUCGUCUACAGGAGGAUUUUUUUUUUUUUUAUAUAUAUAUAGGAAACAUUGACUGCUGUACUUCAUGAACAGUAUUUUCCUUACUGUGCAGUUAUGUGAUCUGGCUAACAGUUGAUGUGAAAACAUGAUUUUUUUUUUUGCCUGAUGUCUGCUGGAGGUUAAAAGUUGUAACCUGGUU